rnacentral:misc_RNA from 1 species
AACCAUAGAAACCUGCGGAGUACCUGCGGAAGGAUCAUUACAAAAUACAAAUCUUGGUUGGAGGGGGUAUUGAGGAGGAAGAGAGAGGAGAGGGCUUGGUUCAAGUGCAUUUGCCUUGGAUGAUGCUUCUCGCUCUCGCUCCUCUGCUCACCAAUCCACAUUUACGCUUGUUGUGUUUGACAGAGUAUCAUAUUCAUGAGAAUCUAUGACAACUUUUAGCAAUGGAUCUCAGAUCGGAAG